rnacentral:rRNA from 1 species
CCUGCGGCCAAAGGGAGCGAUUCCGGCAACGGAUGGGCAUGCGUGACAUUAGCUAGUUGCCGGGGCAACGGCCCACCAAGGCGACGAUGUCUAGGGGUUCUGAGAGGAAGGUCCCCCACACUGGUACUGAGACACGGACCAGACUCCUACGGGAGGCAGCAGUGAGGAAUAUUGGUCAAUGGGCGCGAGCCUGAACCAGCCAAGUCGCGUGAGGGAUGACGGCCCUACGGGUUGUAAACCUCUUUUGUCGGGGAGCAAAUUCCGCCACGUGUGGCGGAGUCGAGAGUACCCGAAGAAAAAGCAUCGGCUAACUCCGUGCCAGCAGCCGCGGUAAUACGGAGGAUGCGAGCGUUAUCCGGAUUUAUUGGGUUUAAAGGGUGCGUAGGCGGACUGUCAAGUCAGCGGUAAAAUACGGGGGCUCAACCUCCGCCCGCCGUUGAAACUGACGGUCUUGAGUGGGCGAGAAGUAUGCGGAAUGCGUGGUGUAGCGGUGAAAUGCAUAGAUAUCACGCAGAACUCCGAUUGCGAAGGCAGCAUACCGGCGCCCGACUGACGCUGAAGCACGAAAGCGUGGGUAUCGAACAGGAUUAGAUACCCUGGUAGUCCACGCAGUAAACGAUGAAUAAUAGCUGUCCGGG